rnacentral:rRNA from 2 species
UCUGGUGUCAGCCGCCGCGGUAAAACCAGCACCUCAAGUGGUCAGGAUGAUUAUUGGGCCUAAAGCAUCCGUAGCCUGCUUUGUAAGUUUUCGGUUAAAUCCAUACGCUUAACGUAUGGGCUGCCGGGAAUACUGCAAAGCUAGGGAGUGGGAGAGGUAGACGGUACUCGGUAGGAAGGGGUAAAAUCCUUUGAUCUAUUGAUGACCACCUGUGGCGAAGGCGGUCUACCAGAACACGUCCGACGGUGAGGGAUGAAAGCUGGGGGAGCAAACCGGAUUAGAUACCCGGGUAGUCCCAGCUGUAAACUAUGCAAACUCGGUGAUGCAUUGGCUUGAUGCCAAUGCAGUGCCGCAGGGAAGCCGUUAAGUUUGCCGCCUGGGAAGUACGUACGCAAGUAUGAAACUUAAAGGAAUUGGCGGGGGAGCACCACAAGGGGUGAAGCCUGCGGUUCAAUUGGAGUCAACGCCAGGAAUCUUACCCGGAGAGACAGCAGAAUGAAGGUCAAGCUGAAGACUUUACCAGACAAGCU